UCCCGUUUAUCACGGGCAGUUCCCUUAGAGUGCCCGGCAUUACCCGCUGGCAACUAAGGGCGAGGGUUGCGCUCGUUGCGGGACUUAACCCAACACCUCACGGCACGAGCUGACGACAGCCAUGCAGCACCUGUGCAUGGACUCCGAAGAGGAACCGAUGUUUCCACCGGCUUUCCGGUAUAUGUCAAACCCAGGUAAGGUUCUUCGCGUUGCGUCGAAUUAAACCACAUGCUCCACCGCUUGUGCGGGCCCCCGUCAAUUCCUUUGAGUUUCAGUCUUGCGACCGUACUCCCCAGGCGGAGUGCUUAAUGUGUUGACGUCGGCACAGCAGGGGUCGAUACCCGCUACACCAAGCACUCAUCGUUUACGGCGUGGACUAC
rnacentral:misc_RNA from 1 species